CAAAGGCUUGGUCCUGACUUUACUAUCAAUUUUGACCAAACUUACACAUGCAAGCCUCCACAUUCCCGUGAGAAUGCCCUACAGUUUCCCGCACGGAAACAAGGAGCCGGUAUCAGGCUCGGAACCCCCUGCCCACGACACCUUGCUUAGCCACACCCCCAAGGGAACUCAGCAGUGAUAGACAUUAAGCCAUAAGUGAAAACUUGACUUAGUUAAGGUCAAGAGGGCCGGUAAAACUCGUGCCAGCCACCGCGGUUAUACGAGAGGCCCAAGUUGAUAGUUCUCGGCGUAAAGGGUGGUUAAGAUUGUCCCUCAACUAAAGCCGAACGCUCUCAGAACUGUUAUACGCUCCCGAGAGUAAGAAGCCCCGCUACGAAAGUGGCUUUACUCUUUCUGACCCCACGAAAGCUGUGAAACAAACUGGGAUUAGAUACCCCACUAUGCCCAGCCCUAAACUUUGAUAGUACUUUACCCCACUAUCCGCCAGGGAACUACGAGCACUAGCUUAAAACCCAAAGGACUUGGCGGUGCUUUAGACCCACCUAGAGGAGCCUGUUCUAGAACCGAUAACCCCCGUUAAACCUCACCCUCCCUUGCUUUUCCCGCCUAUAUACCGCCGCCGUCAGCUUACCCUAUGAAGGAUCUACAGUAAGCACAACUAGUACAGCCCAAAACGUCAGGUCGAGGUGUAGCACAUGAGAGGGGAAGAAAUGGGCUACAUUUCCUUCCCCAAGGAAAUCACGGACAAUGUGAUGAAACACACAUUAGAAGGAGGAUUUAGCAGUAAGCAGGAAGUAGAGUGUCCCGCUGAAACUGGCCCUGAAGCGCGCACACACCGCCCGUCACUCUCCCCAAGCCAAGCACACACAAUAAAUAAUAACACAACCAGGCAAAGGGGAGGCAAGUCGUAACAUGGUAAGUGUACCGGAAGGUGCACUUGGAAAAAC
rnacentral:ncRNA from 1 species